CAAUAUUUCACCGUCUUUUUCUUGCACCUGGAGCGUCUGGAGAAAAUUGGUGAAAAGGAAGAAGGUCCGCUGUAAAUUAAAGAUCAGGACUGUUAUUAUGUUGCACUCGUAUAUUAGGAAGUGGUUGUGUUUAAAAUAACAACAGCGAAAGAUACGGCAUGUUUGAUGUCAUCUCACAGGUGUUAAGUCCAUGUGUUGGGCUCGCCACUCUAAAAUGCUUCAUCUGACCCCGGGGACGACCAGCCUUCCUGUUCGCUCAAAUUGUCGUAAGCCGAGAUGGUGGCAGAAGAGUCCUGCUGCUGCACAGCCGCUUCUCUGGGCGUCUCUGUGACGCAGGUUGUUUUUCCCUCUUCAUCUUCUGGAUCAUCUUUUACGGUCUUUUAUUCAACGGCUCUGCAGUUUCAAAGCCCAGUGUUGUGUUUUGCUCCAAAAGUUGCUUUCCAGUAAUUUGGGGUGUUUCUCUG